GAAGGCCUCAAAGCCUCAGGGAGCCUAUUUCCUCUGAGAGCAGAACACAAACUGGAAAGCUGCUUGAUAUAUUUGCUGGCCCGGGGAAGGUCCAGACUUCAGGGGCAGAGAAAAAGAUUCUCCUCAACACGCUGCUGGCGGGAAGAGGGCUCGCUCUCAAACCUCCACCUACACCUUGAGUCCUGGGAUUUGUGCAGAGAAGGAGUGCUGAUCGUAUUCAAAAAUGUGUGCAGAUGGAAUGAGCAGGAUCUGGAUUGAUUAGCUGCACAGAUUGAAGCGAUCAGAAAACUCCACGAAUAUCCGCAAAUGACUGCUUGGACGUGGCUUUGAAACUUCGUCUGAAAUGAAUUAAAUGACUUCCUCUAUGAAAAUAUGAGAAACUUUUAUUUUACGCUAAGGAAAACAUUCAACAUGGUAGUUAUGUAGUGGAUUGUUUUGAGUGAUACACAGUUAAAAAGAAGCACAAAAAUACAAAUAAAAAAAAUUGUGUGCAUUUAUUGUAUUUUUUAUAAUUUAUCGUCAUAAA